rnacentral:pre_miRNA from 1 species
UUUGUACUCCCUCCGUCCCAAAAUUCUUGUCUUAAAUUUGUCUAGAUACGGAUGUAUCUAGUACUAGAUACAUCCGUAUCUAGACAAAUGUAAGACAAGAAUUUUGGGACAGAGGGAAUACUAC